rnacentral:rRNA from 1 species
AUUGAACGCUGGCGGCAUGCCUUACACAUGCAAGUCGAACGGCACCGCGGACUUCGGUCUGGCGGCGAGUGGCGAACGGGUGAGUAAUGUAUCGGAACGUACCUUUCAGUGGGGGAUAACGUAGCGAAAGUUACGCUAAUACCGCAUAUUCUGUGAGCAGGAAAGCAGGGGAUCGCAAGACCUUGCGCUGAUUGAGCGGCCGAUAUCAGAUUAGCUAGUUGGUGAGGUAAAGGCUCACCAAGGCGACGAUCUGUAGCGGGUCUGAGAGGAUGACCCGACACACUGGAACUGAGACACGGUCCAGACUCCUACGGGAGGCAGCAGUGGGGAAUUUUGGACAAGGGGGGCAACCCUGAUCCAGCCAUGCCGCGUGAGUGAAGAAGGACUUCGGGUUGUAAAGCUCUUUCGGCCGGGAAGAAAUCGUACGGGUUAAUGCCCUGUGCGGAUGACGGUACCGGCAUAAGGAGCACCGGCUAACUACGUGCCAGCCGCCGCCGUAAGAC